CCUUGACUCACCUUACUCUGAUCUUUGCUUCCACAACACAUCUCCUUCAUUGACUCACACUCUCCUGACUCUCUCUUAUCAGGACCCUUGUGAUUACAUUAGCCACUCCAGGAUAAUCCCCCAACUCAAGAUCCUUAACUAAAUCAUAGCUUCAAAGUCCAUUUAGCACGUAAGAUAACAUAUUCACAUGUUCUGUGCAUUAGGAUGUGGAUUUCUUUGGGGGCCGUUAUUCUGCUUACCACAUUGCAGGAACUGUUCUUGAAUGAGAGAGACCAAAAAGACCAAAGGCAAUUCAUGGAAAUUGAUUGGAGCCUGGAUCAAGGCUGGGGGAAAACAGCUACAAAGGACCUUUUGGGGGCCUUUGGGGAAUUUAAGUACGGACUUAAGACUGGAUGGCAUUGUGGAAUUAGUGUUGAUUUUCUAACAGAUGUACUGCCACUGCCGAUAUGGUUGGUUGGAGAAUGUUCUUGUUUUGCGGAGGUGAGGGCUGAAGUAGGUUUCAAGUUUCGUGAUGUCUGCCCCUAUUUUUGGAUGGUUUGACAGAGGGGAAGUGUGUGCAUGUGCUGCAUAUUCAGAGAGGGGGAAGGGUGAAGUGGAUGUGAAGAGGCAUUAAUGGUCAUUGAAUCUAGAUGUUCACUGUAUGGUUCUUUUUGGUAGAUUUGAAAUUCUUAAAAAUGAGGGAAGAAAACCCAAUAAUAAUAAGUGGUAAAUUGGGGCUCAGUUUCCGUGGCCCCUCCUAUCUCCCAGACUUCCCAAGGAGGAGUCCCUGAGAUGGCGGCCUUUAUAUUUUCCAUGAGCACAUAGAACUGGAUUGAGAAUCUACCCUGAGUCCCCCAGACACGCACACUUCUUCCUUCAAACUCUUUUUCCAGAACUGAACUUGCUCAUUUAUGAUGUUCUUCUUAGGUCCAAGCCCAACUCUGCCUUCUUAAUGAAAUUUCUUUAUUGGUACUGAAUGCCUUGGAAACGAGAAGUGCAUUUCAGGCUGUUACCGAAGGUCUUUUCAUCUCUCCCCAAUCUCUGUUGCUUGUCAGGAGAUGUUUCCACUCUCUCCUUGGCCAGGGAGUUCAGGAAUUAAGAAGGAGAAUGAAGCCUGCCUCCCCUAUGGGAGCCUCCAUCAAGAAAUGACUCUGCCCUCACAGUGGUGGCCUUUCCUGAUCAACAGCAAAUCUGUGUCCUUUGGCUUUUGAUUUGCCCUGUGUUCUCCCAACUCAACUGACCUUUGAGGCAGGGCCAGUUCCCUUUACACUGAAGUGAUGGAUGGCUGCUGUGAGUAUCUUCACUCACUGCCUCCCAUAGCGCUCCUUUCUCCCCUGCCUACCUCCUCUGUCCACAGGCCUGGUAUUCAGUUCCCAUAAUUUGUUCGCAGAACUUUGCAUCUUUAUCUCUCAGGUUCAAAUGUGAAUGGACCUGAGGAAGCUCAGCAUUGCCAAAAGGCUGAAGGGCAUGCCUAACGAAUGUGAGAAACUGUGAGAACCAGGCAGAGGAGCCAGAGGAGAGGUGCGCACCUGAGCUGGAUGUGCUGGAUGAAGGAGUGGCCAGGUGACUUCAUUAACCUCUCCAGAAGAAGAAACGCUCAGUCUUAAAGCUCAUAAUGGCAAAAGCCACAGAGCUGGGAUCCAGGAUGCUAGAGACGUGCCCAGCAACUCUGGAGGCAGCGAGAAACCAGCGAGCGCAAGGCCCUCAGCAGGUGAUGGUGGGCGAGCUUCCCAGGCCUGCUGGAACAAAAUACCGCCAACUGGGCGGCUUCAGGCCCCAGAAAUGUAUCCAUCCGCAGUUCUGGAGGCUGGACGUCUGACAUGAAGGCGCUGACAGGGUGAGUGUCUUCUGGGGGCUCUGAGGGAGGGACUGUCCCCAGCUUCUCUCUGUGCCUCUGGGGGUUGUAGCAAAUCCUUGCUGUGUCUUGGCUUAUGGACACAUCACUGCAACCUCUGCCUCCACCUUCACACAGCCUUCUUCCCUGGGCUUCUCUGCAGCCUUUUCUCCUCUUCUAAGAACGUUCUCAUUGGAUUUAGAACCCACCCUAAUCUAGUAGGAUCUUCUUUCAAUCCUUAACUAAUUAAAUCUGAAAAGACUUUAUUUCCAAACAAAGCUACAUUCUGAUUUUCUGAGUAGACAUGAAUUUUGUGUAUUGAACCCACUACAGAUGGACUCUGAAUUCAUUUUCUUAGAAAAACAACCAAACAAGGUACAACAAGGUUUUAGUUUAUUUUUAUUAGAAAUAUUGUAAAGAAAUAAAUAUCAUCAAGUUUCUUAACUCUUCAAAAGCCUUGGUGAUUGUAAGUCAAUAUUCAAAAGUGUAUUUAGGGAGGGGGAAGUAUUAUCAUCCAUCCUCCUCAGAGAUCCUAAAACAUAUGCACAUUUUAGAUUUCCAAGUUCAACAAUUCUAAUCUAAGUCAUAAGAUUACACUACUUUUAGAUUAUCCAGAGUUUAUUACAUCCUAAAUCUUAGAAGUGAGGAAUUAAGUCAAAUUAUGCAUUUUUUUACUUUGGAAUCAAUAAACAAUUUUUUUAUGCACUAAAAAUAGGAAAGAAAGCAGCAAAAACAUGGACAGAUAUUUUGAUGAAAAAAAAUCAAUCUCUUGCUAUAGCAACCCUGCAAAACACCAGUAAGACAUCAGAAUGGCCAUGAUAGAAACAAACAAACAAACAAAUUUGGAAAAAGUUUUAUGCAAAGUAAGGAAAACAGAAGAAAUGAUAUUUCCAAGAAUAGUAGCUGCUGUUUCCUUUUUUUGUUUGUUUGUAAAGUUUAUAUAUAAUUAUCAAAAGGAGAUUUAAGGGAAGCUGAGACAUAUCUUGAAUCACGUCUUAAUCACCGUCUUCUGUGUUGUAUUACAUUUAGGAAGACAAAUUUCUAAAAAGUAAAUUUAAUUAUUUAAUACUGUAACCUGAAACUUAAUAGAUCCCCAAUUGAUUGCUUUAUGGAGACUUUAAAUUCAAUAUUUUAAGAUAAAAAUUCCAGGUCUUAUCAAAUUACCUUUUGAUAAUCAGUAUGAGAAAAUUGUAUCUGGGAAAACUUCUAUAUCUAAGACAUAGUGUGUUCUGUAGUAAUUAGGCAUAAUGUAUAUCAUGAGGGUGUGUGUUUGGCCACCAAAUAAUCCAUUAAAAUGAAAUGGUACCUGCUCUAUCACAAUUUUAAUGUUUUGGAAUGAGUCUCUUCCUGUCUUUGGUAAUUCCUUCAGAUUAUUAGUGGAAGCCAAAUUUGAGUAUCUUAUUUAACCUGGAAGCAAAGCAUAGAAACUCGUGAGGGAUGUCAGUGUUUAAACAACACUGCAGUGUGACAACAGAGCCCUUUCUGGAAGUUGAAAUAUAAGAGAGAGGGAGAAAGAAUAAGUUAAAAGGGAGGGGCAGAGAGGAGGGAUUCUAGAGAAGACCAGACUCACAAUUAUAUCUUUAGUUCCUAAUACAGUGCCUGACACUGAUGAGCACAAACAAUAUGUGUUGAAUAAAUGCAUGCUUAAAAGAUGCCUGAAGUUCAAGGCAAUGUCAUUUAUCGAGAGUGGCUACAAAUGAUGACUGGAUAUUCCCAAUCAUCCAGAUGCCUGGCCCUUCAUCCAGAGCCCCAGCCCUUCAAAGGCUACAGCAAUGAUGCUCAAACACAAGCUUUUCUGAAAUUCUAAAAUGUAUUUUAGAAUUGGAGAUCCAUUAUUUUCAAUAGUUCCAAUUAUGGCAUUAUCCAUUUUCCCUUAUGGCAUUAUCUUUUUUCCCUUCUUAAAAUGGAAAGUUUAGUGUUUUAUAAGAAGCUGAAAGUCAUUUGGUUACUAAAAAGAAAGAAGUAGAGGCUGGCCUGGUGGCGUACCAGUGAAGUUCGUGCACUCCACUUCUGCGGCCUGGGGUUCGCAGGUUUGGAUCCUAGGCACAGACCUGGCACCGCUCAUCAAGCCUCAAGCAAAAAAAGGAAGACUGGCAACAGAUAUUAGCUCAGGGCCAAUCUUCCCCACAAGAAAACCCAAGUAGACUAUAUUUUAUUAAUUCUAAAGUGGAGCUAUAUGGCAUUGAAUCAUUUCUACUUCUAAAUGAAACUCGGAAAAAGAGUCUAAAAUGCAUUGGUCAACACUUAAAGUCCUGGACCAGGACCGGGAAGUCCUGAUAGUCUUCGAGUACCUCUUAAAUAUUUUCUCAUUUCUUAAAAUAGUGGUUUGAAAUGUUCUCUAUGAAGUUCUUGAGUGGCUUUGUAAUGGAUCAAAGCUGAAAUUUGGAUGUAUUUUGCUUCUUUGUAUUUCUAUAUUUUGUUUUCUUUUUUUAUUGUGCAUAUCUAGAAAUAAAAUUGAUUUUGCUAUAUUUACUUUCUAUCCAAUGACCUUGCUAAACUCAAAUGUCCUUUUAAUAGCUUCUCUCUUCAUUCAUUUGGAUAUUCUAUGUGUACCAAGUCAUCUAUGAAUAAUGGCAGUCUUAUUUCUUCAUUUCCUAAGCCAGCCUUAUUGCAUUACACAGGACUUUCAGUAAAAUGUCGGAGAGAACUGAUGAUAGCAGCCCUCCUUGUUUUAUCCCUGAUCUCAAGGGAAAGCUUUCAAUAUUUCACAACAAAAUAUGACGUUUUCUGGAAGAUUCUUAUAUUUUUUAUCAGAUGAGUGAAGUUCCCUUUUAUUCCACCUUUGGUAAGAAACUUUUCAUUAAUGAAGGCUGAAUUUUAUAGAUUGCUUUUUCUGCAACAAUGGGAAUAUUUUAUUUUCUCCAUUAUUUUGUUAAUGUAGUGAAUUAUAUUGAUUAUUUCCUUCUUUUGGGGGGAAAAUGUUAUUGAAGUAUAACGUGCAUACAGAAAAAUGCAGACAUGAUAACUAUUAUAGCUCAGUGAAUUUUCACAAAUGAAACCAGAGUGAUCAACUGUCAGAUGAAUAAACAAAUCAUUACCAGGACACCAGAAAUACUCUAUGACUCCUUUCAGUAUAGAGACUGGGUAACUAGUAUCUUGACUUCAAAUGUCAUAGAUCGGUUUUGCCUUACUUUGAUGGUGGUGGUGCAGGGUGGAGGUGGGGGGUGUCUGGCUUCCUUCAUUCAACAUUAUGUUUGUGUGAUUAAUCCUUGUUAUUGUAAGUAGUUGUCAUUUGUCUUUUCAUUUCUGGAGAGUAUUCCAUGGUAUGAAUAUGUGACAAUCUAGUUACUAAUUAUACUGUUUAUGGACCGUUGGUUUGCAUCUUGGUUUGUAUUUUUUUUUUUGCCUGUUACAAUCAGUGCAUAUAUCAACAUUCUGGACAGGUCCCUUUUGACUGUAUCCAUGCAUUUAUUUUGAAGAUACACACACACACACACACACACACACACCCUAAGAGUAGAGUUUCUGGAUCAGAGGUUAUGCAUAUCUUCAGCAUUAGUCAACACUGUCCAAGGGUUUUGCCAAAGUGAUUGUACUCAUUUGCACUUUCACCAGCAAUAUACGAGUUAGAUUCCCAUUAAAUAAUAGGUGUUACUAUUAUUAUUAGAGAAUAUCCUUUCCUCUUAUGGAGGUGAUAGAGGAAAGUGAAAAGUAGUGGGCCUGGCCUCAGGUCAGAUGGAGUGGACUACAUGGCGUCUGGUUCUUAUACUUUGCUUCCGUGGUGUUGAACACAUUAUCUUGCAGCACAUAGCCAUCCAGGAAGCUUUAAUUGAAGUGAAAGGAAUUGCAAAAGAUCUCCUUCAUAAUAUCUGGCUUGUGGAAUGAGCAGGUACAGAGGCAAUAUAUUGGUGGACGUGAGCAGCCUGAAAGCACUAUUGAGAGACAAUAAGAUAGAUAAGGCAAUAAGAGAGAAGAUUACAUAAAUAGAUAUGGAAGGACAUUGAAGAUAUGUUUCCCACCUUGAAUGUUCCAUCUAUUAUCCUUAUCAUAGAAUUAUGUUUAAAAACUUGAAUUGUUUUCGGGGUAACCUUAGAGGGAUAAGGGGGAGGUCUGGUAUCCAGAAAUCCAGCUCCUUCAACCACCGCUACCCCUCCCCACAUUCAGACAGGGCAUUUCUACCCAUCUCAGAGGAGAUUUCAUAGAUUGCCAUAGAAGAUUUUAUUUGAAGAUACUGUUCUGCUAAAAAAGAAAAAGAAACAAUUGAGAUAGUAAUAUUCUUCUUGAUAAAUACUAAAUUUUCUGUUUCCUGUCUCAACCACUCAUUAAUCAUUUUAGUGUUUCUUUUCAACUGUCACACGAUGAUAACAUAGGUUUAUGUUUUUCUUUGUGCAAGGGACAUUCUGAUGCAGUGGAUUUUUUUGUUUAGUUUUGUUUUUAAUCACAGUACCCCAUUGCUUAUAUUUUUGUCAGAGAACAUCUAUUCUGUCCAUCUUUCAGUGAGACCUGAUAUUUUUAUCAUUCCUAAUAACAACUAUUUUUUGUAAUAAAAAGAGGAACUGGAAGUAGAUUUUUACAUCAGUGGGAUUGUAGCAAAGCAAUUACAUCUCGAUAUACAUGACCUGACAUGAAUGAGCCAGUUUUAAAAUUUCCCAUCAUCUAGAAAGGAAGUGGACUCUGCUAAAUAAUUCCUGAUGGUUCUAUAAUUAUUGGUAAGUCAGAAAAGCAUGAUUUAUUUAUUCAUUUAUUUAGAAGAAAAGGCAAAUUUUUCAGGGAAGCAUCAAUAUUAGUUAAUAACAAAUAUUGUAUAAAAAAUAUUUUGUCUUUUAGUGAUGUUAGAAGUUGAGAGAUUUUCCACAACAAUCUAGUCACUUCUGAGAGUUUAGUUCUCCUUUAGUGUUUUGCUGUUUAUCCUGUUCCGAUAAAGGUCUGCUCUAAAUGUUUUACAGUAUGUGCCAUUUAGAAUAUGGGAUCUCAACUUCCUCUUGGCAGAUUAGCAUCCUGCAUACGUACAUGAUUUUGUGGGUCAAGAGGUGUCUCUCUGAUUAUCAGAUAUAACUGGCAGCCGCAGUUCUGGGAAACUAAGUCCAUGUUUUUCUCCACGUGUCUUUGAAGACAUUCCUAGUAUAUUGGCUUCCCAAUACUGAGCCAUUGCGUAGGAAGUAUAUGCACAUAGAUAACUCAUGCAUGUUA
rnacentral:lncRNA from 1 species